rnacentral:rRNA from 1 species
UACGAAGGGGGCUAGCGUUGUUCGGAAUCACUGGGCGUAAAGCGCACGUAGGCGGACUUUCAAGUCAGGGGUGAAAUCCCGGGGCUCAACCUCGGAAUUGCCUUUGAUACUGUAGGUCUCGAGUCCGGAAGGGGUGGGUGGAAUUCCUAGUGUAGAGGUGAAAUUCGUAGAUAUCUGGAGGAACACCGGUGGCGAAGGCGGCAUCCUGGACCGGUAUUGACGCUGAGGCGCGAAAGCCAGGGGAGCAAAGCGGG